CUAUACCAUUCACUCCAACAGGAGGUCGAACGAGCGGUCUCUGCACUGCAGCCUUCCACCGUUUUCCUUCGCUGGGUCCCUGGGCAUUCAAGGAUUGACGGCAAUGAGCUGG
rnacentral:lncRNA from 1 species